rnacentral:rRNA from 1 species
GAUGAACGCUAGCGGCAGGCCUAACACAUGCAAGUCGAGGGGCAGCACAGAUUGUAGCAAUACAAUUGGUGGCGACCGGCGGACGGGUGCGUAACGCGUAUGCAACCUACCUUACACAGGGGGAUAACGGGGGGAAACUCCCACUAAUACCCCAUAACAUCAUCAAAGGCAUCUUUGAUGGUUGAAAACUCCGGUGGUGUAGGAUGGGCAUGCGUUGUAUUAGAUAGUUGGUGAGGUAACGGCUCACCAAGUCAACGAUACAUAGGGGGACUGAGAGGUUAGCCCCCCACACUGGUACUGAGACACGGACCAGACUCCUACGGGAGGCAGCAGUGAGGAAUAUUGGUCAAUGGGGGCAACCCUGAACCAGCCAUGCCGCGUGCAGGAAGACGGCUCUAUGAGUUGUAAACUGCUUUUGUACUGGGAUAACUGUAUCCACGCGUGGAUACUUGAAGGUACAGUACGAAUAAGGAUCGGCUAACUCCGUGCCAGCCGCCGCCGUAA